rnacentral:rRNA from 3 species
AAUUGAAGAGUUUGAUCAUGGCUCAGAUUGAACGCUGGCGGCAGGCCUAACACAUGCAAGUCGAACGGUAACAGGAAGCAGCUUGCUGCUUUGCUGACGAGUGGCGGACGGGUGAGUAAUGUCUGGGAAACUGCCUGAUGGAGGGGGAUAACUACUGGAAACGGUAGCUAAUACCGCAUAACGUCGCAAGACCAAAGAGGGGGACCUUAGGGCCUCUUGCCAUCGGAUGUGCCCAGAUGGGAUUAGCUAGUAGGUGGGGUAACGGCUCACCUAGGCGACGAUCCCUAGCUGGUCUGAGAGGAUGACCAGCCACACUGGAACUGAGACACGGUCCAGACUCCUACGGGAGGCAGCAGUGGGGAAUAUUGCACAAUGGGCGCAAGCCUGAUGCAGCCAUGCCGCGUGUAUGAAGAAGGCCUUCGGGUUGUAAAGUACUUUCAGCGGGGAGGAAGGGAGUAAAGUUAAUACCUUUGCUCAUUGACGUUACCCGCAGAAGAAGCACCGGCUAACUCCGUGCCAGCAGCCGCGGUAAUACGGAGGGUGCAAGCGUUAAUCGGAAUUACUGGGCGUAAAGCGCACGCAGGCGGUUUGUUAAGUCAGAUGUGAAAUCCCCGGGCUCAACCUGGGAACUGCAUCUGAUACUGGCAAGCUUGAGUCUCGUAGAGGGGGGUAGAAUUCCAGGUGUAGCGGUGAAAUGCGUAGAGAUCUGGAGGAAUACCGGUGGCGAAGGCGGCCCCCUGGACGAAGACUGACGCUCAGGUGCGAAAGCGUGGGGAGCAAACAGGAUUAGAUACCCUGGUAGUCCACGCCGUAAACGAUGUCGACUUGGAGGUUGUGCCCUUGAGGCGUGGCUUCCGGAGCUAACGCGUUAAGUCGACCGCCUGGGGAGUACGGCCGCAAGGUUAAAACUCAAAUGAAUUGACGGGGGCCCGCACAAGCGGUGGAGCAUGUGGUUUAAUUCGAUGCAACGCGAAGAACCUUACCUGGUCUUGACAUCCACGGAAGUUUUCAGAGAUGAGAAUGUGCCUUCGGGAACCGUGAGACAGGUGCUGCAUGGCUGUCGUCAGCUCGUGUUGUGAAAUGUUGGGUUAAGUCCCGCAACGAGCGCAACCCUUAUCCUUUGUUGCCAGCGGUCCGGCCGGGAACUCAAAGGAGACUGCCAGUGAUAAACUGGAGGAAGGUGGGGAUGACGUCAAGUCAUCAUGGCCCUUACGACCAGGGCUACACACGUGCUACAAUGGCGCAUACAAAGAGAAGCGACCUCGCGAGAGCAAGCGGACCUCAUAAAGUGCGUCGUAGUCCGGAUUGGAGUCUGCAACUCGACUCCAUGAAGUCGGAAUCGCUAGUAAUCGUGGAUCAGAAUGCCACGGUGAAUACGUUCCCGGGCCUUGUACACACCGCCCGUCACACCAUGGGAGUGGGUUGCAAAAGAAGUAGGUAGCUUAACCUUCGGGAGGGCGCUUACCACUUUGUGAUUCAUGACUGGGGUGAAGUCGUAACAAGGUAACCGUAGGGGAACCUGCGGUUGGAUCACCUCCUUA